rnacentral:lncRNA from 1 species
AUGUGUAUUACUGCUGCUGCCCCAACAGAUAUUUUCCUCUCAUUUCUGAGGUGUAGGAUUAGCUCCCUGACUUGGUGGUCCUGUUCAGUCUUUGCUGAGGUGCUUCAGGGCUCCAGGUCAUACCUGGGUCCUAGUGGAGAUGAGCGCCUGCAGGUUCACUUCCUUGCUCUUCCCCAAAGAGACCAGCAGAGAAGCCAUUAGACACCCAGCACCAUCACUCUGAAGACAGUGAAACAGAGACAGAGGGAGAAAAAACA